rnacentral:rRNA from 1 species
AUGCGUGGAAGAACACCGCUUCUAGUAGAUUCAAAAGUCCCGUUUCUUUUCUACGUUCGAACCUGCCGGCUAGCUGCCUUGUCGACAUCGCCGGCCACAGAGCCGACCUUGGCAUUAGACACGCCGCCGCCCAGAGGAGAACCUUCGAGGAAAUCGACGGCGGCCACGCGCUUCCCUCUAAUCCUCGUCGACGACGACGAGGACGCCUCCCCUCCCUCGGAGCUUUCCGUUCUCCUCGGCGUCGAGAAGAACCUUCCCGACAACGUCCUGGUGUACCUUAGGAACGAUGGCCAUCUGCCGGCUCUCUGCGCGCGACGAUACGAGCUCUGCUCCCCGGCAGCGGCGACCAUCUCCCUGCGCACGUGCUCCGGCAGCCACAGCGUGAACCGCUCCAGGUCGCGGUCGAGCCGGACUACGGCGAGGGAGUGGCCGGCGGAGUACGACCGGACAAGCUUCGCGGCCUUCGUCCCGGCCGGCCGCGACCCCGACCGCAUCGCGCGCCGCUGGGUCCCUAUCCGCUGCAGCUCCAUCGCCUCCUUCCUGCGCUGCUCGGCCUCCUCCUCCGUCACCACGUCGAUGACCACGGCCGCUGGUCGCGCGCCGCUGUCUGCUUGGUGGUGGCGUACCACGGUGAUUUCGCUGGAGCUGCUGUUGGCUUCCGGCACCGGGGGCUUACUCGCCUCGUCGUCGCUGCCGCCGUCCUUGCUAGGGUCGAGGUUGCGGCGGCAGACCGGGCAGGUGACGUGGCUGGCGAGCCACUCGCCGAUGCAGUCCGGGUGGAAGGCGUGGCUGCACUUGGGCAGCAGCCGGAGCCUGUCCUCGUCCUCGAACUCGCUGAGGCACACCGCGCACUCCAGCGGGGGCGCCGCCUUCCUCCCCACGCGCAGCGCCUUGGCCUCCGCGUAG